CGGAUUCAUUCGUUCGUACACUCAAGACUGGUUGCUUCUUUGUUUCUAAAACUAGUUUCUUGUGCUUCUAUGUAACUUGGGGUGAAGUUACGUGUUUGCAAGCGGACAUGUAAGCCCGGCAGUUGGGUUUCGGUCGUGAGCCAUUCGGGACAGGUCUGCAUCGAAACGGGAGCUGGAUUUUGCUGCGGCUGACAACGGCAAUAACGUCAAAAUUUCUGUUCCAGACAUGCAGUAAUGAGGACGGCACCAGUAUAAAGCAACACACUCCACGCACUAAACAGAAGCUGCUGCCUGCUACGACAAGGUCAUUGUGUGGACAUUGGCUACUACUACAAGGUAAACAACAUAUGGUUCAGAAAUAAAUAUGUUUGAUCUAUGCUGUAUUGGCUUGCUGUUUGCAGCAGAUAUGAAUGUUUGUUCAUAUAUAUGGUUCAGUAUAAUUGGUUCGAACAUAUAAAACCCACAUAAAUUUGGCUAAUCUGUGCUGUAUCUCACGUGUCACCGUUUUGCCCCAACAGAGUCUAUGCCAAGCACAUCUUGGUCAUCACAGGAGCUCCUAUCUGCACCAACAGGAAGGGGCUGGAGCCGAAUUUGCAAGGCUUUUACACCAAGAACAAAGAAGCACAUGCACAAGAAUAUGGAUGAGAUAUCAAGUCUGCAAAGGACUGUGUUAAGACUGCAAAGAGCUUCAUCCACCAUUCCACCAGCACGGACAUUUGGCUGAGUCAUCCAAGUAACUCAAAAAGGACUUUCUAGAAAUUCUUCGUCUUCAGAUGCACCUGCAACAUCUGACCAAGCACGGACAACGCUGGCCAAAAGAUUGAGUUUCAUCAGUUCGUCCUUAAUCAGCUUCCAAGCCAUGUUAAUUCCGUUUGUGCGAAGUGUAAUUUUUCUUCUAUAAAUGCAAGCUUUCUCAUUGCCCAUUUUUGUUAGAGGUUAUUCAUCCUCAUCCAAAUAUAAAGGUCAACCUUUAUAUUUGGAUAUUUCGCUGAUACUUAAUACCAGUCACUGUCUAGCAGCCUAACAUAUCUGUAGCAGUAUCUUCUAGUGUAUGUUGUCAUGCGCAAUUACUCUCCUGAAAUAGCUGAUGCAGCAUCGGCAUGCGUCUUGCAUUAACCUAUGCACAUGUGCUAUGCACCAUUUUACUUUUCUUGGUGUUUUUAGCCUUCAAUGCUUGCAGAGCAGAGUGGCUUCUCUCUUGAAUGCAAGCUUUCUCAUUUUCCAUAUUCCUAGUCUCGUUGAUGAUUGCUCCUCUUCCUUGAUAGCCUGGGUCUUUGUGCAAGCUACAGUGAAGUGAUUGAUUGCAGAAUCUGGUUUUGCUGCCACACUUGGUUGUGGUAACUGUGUUACAGAUGUGGGGGCCUGGUCAGUUGCAUUGGUAAGCAGUCCCUCGAGGUAAGCAUUUGCUCCUGCAGUCCGCAAAGCGACAUAGACUCCCAGUAUACACACACCGUAACUGGUGCGCCCCGUUCGUUCUGGCCUGCUGCAGCCAUGGGCAAAUUGUGCUUGUGGCCUACCUCGGCCAUGAUUUGCUCAAAACGGAGACCAGCAUAUGUGCUUACAUGGUUCGAAGUGUAUGAAGUUGAUAGCCGUAUGGGUGGAAAGGCCCGCAAGAAUGGCUGCCGAAGGUGAUGCCCACAAAAGCGACUUGUCCACAUUGCGACAAAGUGGGACACAAAGUGUGAGCCACACAUAGCGGCCCCCGAAAGAAAAUAAAUGUGCAGGUUGGAAAGGAGUUAACGCUAAAAUGCCGGGUAGUCCAUGUCGCUGUGUUGGUUGCGGCAGCAGAUGCCUGCGUCACCUGAUUGCUUCGCAAUGGAAGUUGCUCAUCUUCAACGGCAACUGUUGGUUCAAACAGGUGCAAGGCUCUGUCCAAUCUGUUUGUACCGCAGGUUGUCACUCGUUACCAGACCACCACAUGUGACAAAGGCAAGCAUUAUGCCUGUAAGAUGGUUCGCAGCCAAUGUAUAAUGUAUUGUCUGAACCUCAAGCGGUGACUGAUUGCCGUUUAAUUUUGCUGUUAUGUCACUUGGUUACGGUCGCAGUUUUAUGUUUUUCGAAUAUUGCUGCCUGGUCGGUUGCACUGGGAAGCAGCCUCUCGAAGUAAGAAUUUGAUCCUGCAGUCUGCACAGCGACAUAGACUCCCAAUUUACGCACACCGUGAUUCGUGCUCCCCGUUCACCCUUUCCUGCUGCAGCCAUGGGCAAAUUGUGCCUCUGGCCUUUCUCGGCCGCGAUUAGGCAUGAACGGAGACCAGCAUAAGUGCUUACAUGGUCGGACGUGUAUGAAGUUGGGUGGAAAGGCCCGCAAAAGUGGCCGAUGAAGGUGAUGCCCACGAAAGCGACUUGUCCAUAUUGAGACAAUGUGGGACACCAAGUGUGAGCCACACAUUAGCGGCCUCCAAAAGAAAAGAAACAUGCAGGCUGGAAAGGAGUCAAUGCUAAAAUGAUGGGUAGUCCAUGUCGCUGUGUAGGCUGCGGCAGCAGAUGCCUGCGUCACCCGACUGCUUUGCACUGCAAGUUGCUCAUCUUUAACAGCGACUGUCGCCGCAAACAGGUGGGACAGUCUGUCCAAUCUGUUUCUGCUGCUGGUUGUUGCUCGUUAGUAGACCACCACGUGCGACGAAGUCGGGCACUACGCCUGUAGGUAGGCAGCUCAAUGUACCCUAAGAGACCCGUGUAUGUGAAUGCUCACUGUUGCCAUAUGGUUUGUCGCCAAUGUAUGAUGUAUUGUCUGAACCUCAUGCGGUGACUGAUUGCUGUUUAAUUUUGCUGUUAUGUCACUUGAUUAUGGUCGCAGUGUUAUGUUUUUCGAAUAUUGCGGCCUGGUCGGUUGAACUGGGAAGCAGCCUCUCGAAGUAAGAAUUUGAUCCUGCAGUCUGCACAGCGACAUAGACUCCCAAUUUACGCACACCGUGAUUCGUGCUCCCCAUUCACCCUUUCCUGCUGCAGCCAUGGGCAAAUUGUGCCUCUGGCCUUUCUCGGCCGCGAUUAGGCAUGAACGGAGACCAGCAUAAGUGCUUACAUGGUCGGACCUGUAUGAAGUUGGGUGGAAAGGCCCGCAAAAGUGGCUGAUGAAGGUGAUGCCCACGAAAGCGACUUGUCCAUAUUGAGACAAUGUGGGACACCAAGUGUGAGCCACACAUUAGCGGCCUCCAAAAGAAAGAAACAUGCAGGCUGGAAAGGUGUCAAUGCUAAAAUGAUGGGUAGUCCAUGUCACUGUGUAGGCUGCGGCAGCAGAUGCCUGCGUCACCCGACUGCUUUGCACUGCAAAUUGCUCAUCUUUAACAGCGACUGUCGCCGCAAACAGGUGGGACACUCUGUCCAAUCUGUUUCUGCUGCUGGUUGUUGCUCGUUAGUAGACCACCACGUGCGACGAAGUCGGGCACUACGCCUGUAGGUAGGCAGCUCAAUGUACCCUAAGAGACCCGUGUAUGUGAAUGCUCACUGUUGCCAUAUAGUUCGUCGCCAAUGUAUAACGUAUUGUCUGAACCUCAUGCGGUGACUGAUUGCUGUUUAAUUUUGCUGUUAUGUCACUUGGUUAUGGUCGCAGUGUUAUGUUUUUAGAAUAUUGCGGCCUGGUUGGUUGCACUGGGAAGCAGUCUCUCGAAGUAAGCAUUCGCUCCUGCAGCCUGCACAGCGACAUAGACUCCCAAUUUUCAUGCACCGUGAUUCGUGCUCCCCGUUCGCGCUUUCCUGCUGCAGCAAUGGGCAUAUUGUGCCUCUGGCCUUUCUCGGCCGCGAUUAGGCAUGAACGGAGACCAGCAUACGUGCUUACAUAGUCCGAUGCGUAUGAAGUUGAUAGCUACAUGGGUGGAAAGGCCCGCAAAAGUAGCUGAUGGAGGCGAUGCCCACGAAAGCGACUUGUCCAUAGCGAGACAAUGUGAGACACCAAGUGUGAGCCACACAUUAGCGGCCCCCGAAAGAAAAGAAACGUGCAGGUUGGAAAGGAGUGAACGGCUAAAAUCUGGGGUAGCCCAUGUCGCUGUGUAGGCUGCGGCAGCAGAUGCCUGCGUCUCCCGAUUGCUUCGCAAUGCAAUUUGGGCAUUUUUAACGGCGACUGUCGCUGCAAAUAAGUGGCACACUCUGUCCAAUAUGUUUCCGCUGCUGGUUCUUGCUCGUUAACCUGACCACCACGUGCGACGACGACGGUGAGCCGUUUACGAGCUCGCGUCAAUGAUUCCAGCGUAUCUCGACAUGCAAAUUUUAUUUCUGCUAUUGCACGAGAAUGUACACUGCUUGUCUUCUGCCAAUAAAGUCGCGCGUUCUGUUCACUCA